rnacentral:lncRNA from 1 species
AGAAAGGGUGAUACUGUUGCCACAAAGAAUCCUUCAGAUGUGUUAUUGACAAGUAUUUGGCCAUAUUUCUCUCAUCAGUCUUUGCUUCCAAAGAGAUCACCAGAUAUUCAGCUAAUUCUAAAGCCACCAUUCUGAUCCAUCAAUGGUCUGUUCCCAGUAUGGGGAGGAGGGUCCUACUGGCUUGGCUUGAACCUACCACUCACCGGAAAGACUGCACAGCCCAAAACAAAAGAGAAACUUAGCUGUCCACGGUGUAUAUUCUUAACUUGGAUUGUAACUAAAUUAUCUGCCUUGCUUUUAACCAUUUCUUUCGAUGAGCCUCAUUAGCCAACGUCAAUGUGUGGGAUAAAAGAAGAAAAUGUCACUCAAAACAGUUAUGUCCUAUGAAGUGCUGCACAAGGGUCGGCUGCGAUUGCCAGGACUGUUCAUCAUGAUGUCUUUCGAAUGCUUGCUAAUGACAAACUUAUCUGUAUAGCCAGCUAGUAUUUACCAAACUAAAAGCACUUUUAUAAUGUCUUCCAGAAAAGUAUUCUAGAACAAUAGUCUAUCAGUCAUGGUUAAAAUUCUGAGCUUCCAGUGUUUACUGCUGAGACCAGGAAGUCCAAGAGUUACAAGCUAGCUAUGACAGAUGCCCCUUGAAUUAUUUUUCUUGUUAAAUAUGUUCUUCAUAGAAGAGGGAGAAACUGCUUUUCCCAGAAAUGCCGCUGGGCCCGCUUCCUGUAAGACUCUGUGAACCCAGUCCUUAUGAAAGCUGUCCCUAGCAUGGCAUGACCGUAGUCUCUUAUGGCCUUUGGCUUUUUAUCUUCUUGGAUUGCUUUAUCCUCCUGGGUACACUGUAGCCCACAUGCAUACUUAGAGAAACUGCUUUUUCUACACCCAUUCCUAAGAAUCUAUUCUAUGGUAUAUGUUCCUUCUUUUUCCUCUAAAUAAUUAGGACACAGAAGUGUACUAGAUC